UACGUAGGGUGCAAGCGUUGUCCGGAAUUAUUGGGCGUAAAGAGCUCGUAGGCGGUCUGUCGCGUCGGCUGUGAAAACCCGGAGCUCAACUCCGGGCCUGCAGUCGAUACGGGCAGACUGGAGUUCGGCAGGGGAGACUGGAAUUCCUGGUGUAGCGGUGAAAUGCGCAGAUAUCAGGAGGAACACCAGUGGCGAAGGCGGCGAUCUGGGGAAGAAUACUGACGUGAGGUGCGAAAGCGUGGGGGAGCAAACAGG
rnacentral:rRNA from 1 species